AAAAUUAAAAGGACGCGGUAACCUUGACCGUGAUAAUGUAGCAUAAUCAUUCGCCAUUUAAUUGAUGGAUAGUAUGAAUGGUUGAACGAAUAUUCCACUGUCUUAAAAAGAAAUAAUAAAAAAUUAGAAUAAUAGUAAAGAUUCUAUUUAAAAUUGUAAGACGAAAAGACCCUAUAGAGCUUAACUAUAAUUUUUUUCUUUUACUAUAAAUUAUAAGAAAAAUAGGUAGUUUAGUUGGGGCGACUGUCUUUUAAAAAAAACAAAGACAAGCAAAAUUAAUAAUAAAAAAUUUAUUGUAUAAUACAUAAAUUUAACAAUUACAAAAGUAGGCUAUAAUGACCCGUUAUUAUUAAAUAAGAAAAAAUAACGAUCAAUAAAUAAAAGCUACCUUAGGGAUAACAGGAUAAUUUUAUUUUAGAGAUCUAAUCGAAAAUAAAGUUUGUCACCUCUAUGUUGAAUUAAGA
rnacentral:rRNA from 1 species